rnacentral:rRNA from 1 species
CCUACGGGUGGCUGCAGUCGAGAAUUUUUGGCAAUGGGCGAAAGCCUGACCAAGCGAUGCCGCGUGCGGGAUGAAGGCCUUCGGGUUGUAAACCGCUGUCAGUGGGGAGGCCUAUCUGCAGAGGAAGUGUGGGCUAAGUUCGUGCCAGCAGCCGCGGUAAGACGAACCACACGAACGUUAUUCGGAAUUACUGGGCUUAAAGGGUGCGUAGGCGGCGUAGUAAGUUGGGUGUGAAAUCCCUCGGCUCAACCGAGGAACUGCGCCCAAAACUACUAUGCUUGAGGAAGAUAGAGGUAAGCGGAACUCACGGUGGAGCGGUGAAAUGCGUUGAUAUCGUGAGGAACACCUGUGGCGAAAGCGGCUUACUGGGUUUUCUGACGCUGAUGCACGAAAGCCAGGGGAGCAAACGGGAUUAGAUACCCUUGUAGUC